rnacentral:lncRNA from 1 species
UAGACUAUGUAGUGCCCUUCUCAUUUGAUCACCCUCUGUCCGAUUCGAAGAGUUCGAUCCUUAAUGUCCUAUCCGUGACGACGCAUGUGCUGCCAUAAAUGAAUCAAAUCGCUUGUACCAAUAGAAAUCGAACUCGGAAGAGGAAGGGUGAUGAUGAAAAGGCUUUUCAUCAGGCUGAAGAAGCAUAUUUCUAUGAAAGAAAGGAGUCUAAAACCAUAAGAAGAGAAGAGGAAGGGCGGAGUAGUG